rnacentral:rRNA from 1 species
CCUGACUGCUAUCGGAUUGAUACUAAGCCAUGCGAGUCUUUGUAGUAAUACAAGGCAGACGGCUCAGUAACACGUAGUCAACCUACCCUAUGGACAAGAAUAAUCUCGGGAAACUGGGCAUAAUUCUUGAUAGAUCAUAAUGCCUGGAAUGGUUUAUGGUUAAAAUGAUUCGUCGCCAUAGGAUGGGACUGCGGCCUAUCAGCUUGUUGGUGAGGUAAUGGCCCACCAAGGCGAUUACAGGUACGGGCUCUGAGAGGAGAAGCCCGGAGAUGGGUACUGAGACACGGACCCAGGCCCUAUGGGGCGCAGCAGGCGAGAAAACUUUGCAAUGUGCGAAAGCACGACAAGGUUAAUCCGAGUGAUUUCUGCUAAAGAAAUCUUUUGCCAGUCAUAAAACCACUGGUGAAUAAGGGGUGGGCAAGUUCUGGUGUCAGCCGCCGCGGUAAAACCAGCACCUCAAGUGGUCAGGAUGAUUAUUGGGCCUAAAGCAUCCGUAGCCGGCUUUGUAAGUUUUCGGUUAAAUCCAUGUGCUCAACGCAUGGGCUGCCGAAAAUACUGCAUGGCUAGGGAGUGGGAGAGGUAGACGGUACUCAGUAGGAAGGGGUAAAAUCCUUUGAUCUAUUGAUGACCACCUGUGGCGAAGGCGGUCUACCAGAACACGUUCGACGGUGAGGGAUGAAAGCUGGGGGAGCAAACCGGAUUAGAUACCCGGGUAGUCCCAGCUGUAAACGAUGCAGACUCGAUGAUGCAUUGGCAUAAUAGCCAGUGCAGUGUCGCAGGGAAGCCGUUAAGUCUGCCGCCUGGGAAGUACGUACGCAAGUAUGAAACUUAAAGGAAUUGGCGGGGGAGCACCACAAGGGGUGAAGCCUGCGGUUC